UACAGAGGUCUCAAGCGUUGUUCGGAUUCAUUGGGCGUAAAGGGUGCGUAGGUGGCGCUGUAAGUCGGGUGUGAAAUCUCGGAGCUUAACUCCGAAACUGCAUUCGAUACUGCCGUGCUUGAGGACUGGAGAGGAGACUGGAAUUUACGGUGUAGCGGUGAAAUGCGUAGAUAUCGUAAGGAAGACCAGUGGCGAAGGCGGGUCUCUGGACAGCUCCUGACGCUGAGGCACGAAGGCCAGGGGAGCAAACGGG
rnacentral:rRNA from 1 species